GACUCAAUCCACACUUUGCUGCAACUCAAGGUUAGAUUCAUCCAAGUAAAUAAUGAAAUGCAUCUUUAACUUGUUAUACAAAUAUACUGAGAGUAACAGACUUAUAAAUGAAGUAUCGAAUUAACUUAUAACAUACUCUCGAUUAUUGCUUGUUAAUCAUCAAAAUAACACUAUCAUCCUCAAAUUGACAUUGCAUAAUUCUUUGGGCAUAUGGCUUAGCUUGAAUCAAGUUCCUAGGAUUGGGUUAGACCUAAGGUCAGAAUCAUACAUGGACAAAUAGAAUUAAUUGAUCAAACCUAAUUGUAGUAACUAGAUUAGAUCAAGAAAAUUCUAGGUCAAUUUACAAUAGUUG
rnacentral:lncRNA from 1 species